rnacentral:lncRNA from 1 species
GAGAUGAGGGUAUUUCUACUGCUUGGACUUGCAGCAGGGAGAAGCAGAUGGUCCUCAUUUCAUCAUGGGCUGCAAUACAUCUAACAGGGUUGCUGCAGCACAGCUGUCUUCUGAGGAGCUACAGAACAACCAUGAAGCCAGAAGCCAGACUCCAAGUGGCAGCGUUGACAGAACAUGGGCUGCCACCUCACAGGAGGGGGCAGCUUGGACAAGGGGCACUUCAGAGAACGGAAGCAAACUUGAAGUUGAAGCCAGAGAGGGAGACUUUCCUGAGAGAUCAACAGAAGGAUUUGCACCUUCUGAAAAAAGCAGCAACACACAAAGCACAGAUACACUGCUCACCAGUGGGUUCAUCAGUAAAUCAUGGCCCUUACAAGAAACAGAGAGACAAAAAUCAUCAGACAUUCUUGAGGAGCUGAGGAUGCAGGGAAUAAUCAGGAGCCAAAGUACUACUGCCAGCACUGAAGAAGCAUAUGAAAACAAGGUGAGCAUCACUACACGAUAUGGGAUCUCUGCUACAGUGUUCUGACUCUUCUGUGAGCUCCAUGAGAGUCAACUUCUCUACGUGCACAGCAUCCAGA